rnacentral:rRNA from 1 species
GAUGAACGCUGGCGGCGUGCCUAAUACAUGCAGGUCGAGCGAAUGGAUUAAGAGCUUGCUCUUAUGAAGUUAGCGGCGGACGGGUGAGUAACACGUGGGUAACCUGCCCAUAAGACUGGGAUAACUCCGGGAAACCGGGGCUAAUACCGGAUAACAUUUUGAACCGCAUGGUUCGAAAUUGAAAGGCGGCUUCGGCUGUCACUUAUGGAUGGACCCGCGUAGCAUUAGCUAGUUGGGGAGGUAACGGCUACCCAAGGCAACGAGUCGUAGCCGAGCUGAGAGGGUGCUCGGCCACGCUGGGACUGAGACACGUCCCAGACUCCUACGGGAGGCAGCAGUAGGGAAUCUUCCGCAAUGGACGAAAGUCUGACGGAGCAACGCCGCGUGAGUGAUGAAGGCUUUCGGGUCGUAAAACUCUGUUGUUAGGGAAGAACAAGUGCUAGUUGAAUGAGCUGGCACCUUGACGGUACCUAACCAGAAAGCCACGGCUAACUACGUGCCAGCCGCCGCCGUAA